UAACGUACUUCGAUAUCGUUACCAAAUAACGAGAAACGGUUUUGCAGAAUAGCAGUUACAAAGGUGACUGCACAUCACUACACCUGUUAACGCAAAUAUAAUAACGAGGGCACGACAGUGUUCAACGAUCAGUUUGUCUGUUGUGUUCGCGGGGGUUGCACGGCUGGAUAGAGCGCGCCUAGAGGCAGCCCACUGUUUUCGUUUUUUUAUUUGGCUUCUAGCCGUUGUAUGGAGCGUGAAAAACCAUCAUCAGGGUUGUUAGAGAAGCAGCGUGAGGCGCUCGUCAAGAGCGUCGAGGUCGCUACGGAUCGAGGCCGGGAUGAAGG